GAUGAACGCUGGCGGCGUGCCUAAUACAUGCAAGUCGAGCGAACAGACGAGGAGCUUGCUCCUCUGACGUUAGCGGCGGACGGGUGAGUAACACGUGGAUAACCUACCUAUAAGACUGGGAUAACUUCGGGAAACCGGAGCUAAUACCGGAUAAUAUAUUGAACCGCAUGGUUCAUUAGUGAAAGACGGUUUUGCUGUCACUUAUAGAUGGAUCCGCGCCGCAUUAGCUAGUUGGUAAGGUAACGGCUUACCAAGGCGACGAUGCGUAGCCGACCUGAGAGAGUGAUCGGCCACACUGGAACUGAGACAGGGUCCAGACUCCUACGGGAGGCAGCAGUAGGGAAUCUUCCGCAAUGGGCGAAAGCCUGACGGAGCAACGCCGCGUGAGUGAUGAAGGUCUUCGGAUCGUAAAACUCUGUUAUUAGGGAAGAACAAAUGUGUAAGUAACUAUGCACGUCUUGACGGUACCUAAUCAGAAAGCCACGGCUAACUACGUG
rnacentral:rRNA from 1 species